AAAGAGUUAAAAUGUUGUGGCAAGCAAACACUGUUGAGCAGGUUAAAAGACAUGCAAGAGUUAGAAGUGUCUGACUUUUUUUUUUUUAUCUGGACCAUGUGGUUUCCUCACAGUGAGAGACAGGGUGAGGGCAGUGGUCCGACAGGCAGGGGAGUUUCAGGUGAGCAGAACCAGCAUGGUCCUCAGCUGCAGCACCCUCCACUCCCUUUAAGAAAACACUUCCAGAUGCUCCCACCGUGCUGCAGGACAGUGAGAGGAAAUGCCAGGCAAGCCAAAAGGAAGAGCAGAUGAGAUGGUGGAGAUCUUCUUGACGACAUGGGAUGUAGUAAAGGAUGUCCCCGGAGAACAUAAGACCCCUUACUUUUCUCUGUUACUGGGUAAAACGGAGGGCAAAUUGGCCUUAUAUCUUCAAGAUCUGGGUGUCAAGGAUGUGUCGAGGAAUGGAUGUUAAAUAAUUUGAUAUAAUGUGGAGUUUAAAGGAAAAGGAAAGAUGGUGUUGAGAACAGCUUGAAGACGAGGCGAAACAACUGAGUAGAAAUGUGGAAAGCAUGAGGAAAUGCACAAAGUUUGACAGACUUUCAAAAAGAAUGCAGAUGACAAAAGAUAAGAGAGCUCACAGACGUGCAGUCACAGAAAGCUCCUUGCCAGGUUUCAUUUUCCUUAAGAAGCAGCUCCACAAAACCACUGGCAUCCAGCAUAUAUAUCUAAAAUAUGAAAUACCAGAAGAAAGAAACCAGUUUGAUUGCUUUAACCUAACAUCUUUUUCCAUUCACACCAUUAAGCACCACCACAACCAGCAGGCACACAGACAAAACAGAUACUUACCCAGAUGGUGGUAUCAGAUUUAAGCAUUUGGGUGUAAGUAAAGCAGAAUGUGUUAGCGUGCUGUGACAUGAUGAUAGAUGGAGGCGAGAGGAGGUUCAGAGUUUAAGACACAACCACAAUAUUUGGGGAAUGUUACUGUACUUGGCAUUUAAAGAAGUGGUUAAUUGAGAGAGACAUAUGUCCUUUUUAUUUCUCUCUGUGUGAGGGAAUAAAUCAGUCAUAUUUA